AGAGUUUGAUCCUGGCUCAGGUCGAACGCUAGCGGCAGGCUUAAUACAUGCAAGUCGAACGAACCCUUCGGGGUUAGUGGCGCACGGGUGCGUAACACGUAUGCAACCUGGCUUUGGGCGCGGGACAACGUCUGGAAACGGGCGCUAAUACCGCAUAACGCCUUUAUAUCGCAUGGUAUGGAGGUUAAAGGGGCGACCCGCCUGAAGAUGGGCAUGCGUCUGAUUAGUUAGUUGGCAGGGUAACGGCCUACCAAGGCAAUGAUCAGUAGCUGGUCUGAGAGGAUGACCAGCCACACUGGCACUGAGACACGGGCCAGACUCCUACGGGAGGCAGCAGUAAGGAAUAUUGGGCAAUGGGCGAAAGCCUGACCCAGCCAUGCCGCGUGAGGGAAGACGGUUCUAGGAUUGUAAACCUCUUUUCUCCGGGACUAAGGCCUCAGUCGCUGGGGUUUGCAGGUACCGGAGGAAUAAGCGCCGGCAAACUACGUGCCAGCAGCCGCGGUAAUACGUAGGGCGCAAGCGUUGUCCGGAUUUACUGGGUUUAAAGGGUGCGUAGGCGGACUUUUAAGUCGGUGAUGAAAUGCUCGGGCUCAACUCGCAGCGCUGUUACCGAUACUGAAAGUCUUGAGACUGCGCGAGGCGGCUGGAAUGAAUGGUGUAGCGGUGAAAUGCGUA
rnacentral:rRNA from 1 species